rnacentral:lncRNA from 1 species
CCUCCCUCCCUCCCUCCCUCGUUCGCUCGCUCGCUCUCGUGUGCCUGUUCUGCAGCUCAGUCAAGUACAGCCGCCCUCGGAAAGUGCAAAGCAGCCGCAAGACAGAUAGAGCUUUGUUGCUAAUUUCCCAGGGUGAAAAUGUACAAGCCUGCGAGUGCAGUCAGCACAACCCCACGCAUAUGCUACUCGCAAACGCUGGGGACGACCCCCAAUCCCCCCUCCGCACAAAAAGUGACCUCGGCGGGAGUCGACUCCGGGAAGGACCCUGCCUACCUCCUGGACCCGUCCAAAAGAAGUCCUGCGAAAGAGCUCCAGAGGAAAACGGUGCUUUGGACCAAGUGGUAUCUGAGCGGUACAAGCAGUACCUUGAUGCACAGGCCAGGUAAGGAGAGAAACAAAUUCACUAAAUAGUGAUAAAAGCAUCUGAACUGGUUUUAAAAGAUAACGUACAUUAGCAUGUUGAGUCACAAUGUUAUUUCCCAAGUGUAAAGUUCAGAGGCAUAGUGGUGAUAACCAAGUUUACCUCAGUCCCAGCAAAAUACAUGUAGUUUUCAUAAAAUGAUUGAAAUUUUUAUGACUAAAGUGAUGUUUUUAUGUAUUUUUAAAAUUUAAGUAGUCAAUUCUUCUAUGGUUAGUAACUGUAUGUUCUGGAUUUUCCAGAUCAGUCCAGAUUUCAUAAAAAUGUUCUUUUUCAAUGAAAGCUAGUCUCUAAAUGUGUAAUUAAAUGUAAUUUACUCUUUGAGUUAUUUUUGUGUAAUUCAGUUUACAAAUGAGAAAGAAAGAAAAAUUCCAUUAUCAGAUAUGCCCUGGUUUUAGAUUCAGAACACAUAUACAUUUUAUCUGCAGCCUAAGAGCAUAAUACUUUAAUAUUGUGUUUUUAUUCAUUACUACCAUAUAUUGUACCUCUUAAACUAUUGAACUGUAAUCUCCAAGGUCCUGAGCUCUCAUUUCCUAGUUUAAACAAGGGAUGUUUAAAAUCUAAAUUCACCUCAACUAAGUGGAUGCCAUGAAAAACUUUUUCUUCCUUUCAGUCUUGAGUGAUACUUUUACUUUCUCCCUCAAAACUUCUCAUCUGCAUUCCCAAUGCCAUUUUGCGGCACAC